CGUGAAGGCGAGCACUCUAGACGAACUGCCGUUGACAAACGGAGGAAGGUGGGGAUGACGUCAAAUCAUCAUGCCCCUUAUGUUCUGGGCUACACACGUGCUACAAUGGCCGGUACAGACGGACGCAAAGCCGCGAGGUGGAGCAAAUCCUAAAAAGCCGGUCUCAGUUCGGAUUGCAGGCUGCAAUUCGCCUGCAUGAAGUCGGAAUCGCUAGUAAUCGCAGGUCAGCAUACUGCGGUGAAUACGUUCCCGGGCCUU
rnacentral:rRNA from 1 species